ensembl:lncRNA
UGGGAAUGUGCAAGGAGCAUCUAACUGCAGGUGAAGGGCUGUGUAAAUAAAACUGGCAGCUAUUAACCAUAAUUAAAGUCUUUUAUAUUAUAAUAACAUUUGCAUUGUAGCCAUUAGGUAUGAGGGCAUAUGCUAAUGGUAGGUACUUAUCAGUUUUGUCCCAACAGUAAUACAGAUACAGUCCUGCAUCUGGUUUAAUACAUUAUGUGUUGUCAGAUGUGCGUUUGCCAGUGUAUUGCAUACAUCUGUCAUGUUCAUACGUGCGUUUCAGGAUAUUUGUCUCUGAAGAGAUGGGACUCUUAUGCCGUGACACUGUCUGCAGACUACUGGCUGUAUUUAGAGCUUGUAGAUGUGCAAAAAGUCGGCCGAAUUUAGUUUCAGUCAGCAUCAAAAGGCUACUGGGAUGCAUUUGAGUUGUUUUUUGUUUUGUUUUUUCUUUUUGAACCUGCCUGCUGCUAAACUGGGAGAUAAAAAUGGCAGUUUGGGAUCAAGAGUCAUUUGAUCCAAGCAUCUUUUUUUUUUUUUUGUUUGUUUUUUUGUUUUUUUUUUGUUUUUUGGAUGUUUGCAGAUUUUAUUGGGUGUUGUCAGUCAGAGCUGAGUGUGAGCACCUGAAAGACCGCAUUUCUGAAUUUUAUUGCAUUUAUAAUCUUUUAAUGGCCUUUUUAAAAUGCUUCAAGCUCGUGAUCAAACCACUAACCAGAUUCACUGAAAGUGUUAAAAUGUUACAUUAAUUUAGUUGAGUGUAUGUUAUUAUUAGGUGCCGAACUGAAUCUGGUUUCAGGCUCUGCAACUAAAGACUUUUUUCUUUUUAGCCUUCCCCAACAUUAAAGUAGUUGAUGCUGACUUCGGCCUACAUGCCAUGGUACUUAAAGGUGGAAAAACAGCAGCCAGUCAGACUGAGGUUUGUAGGUUACGAGAGUGCAUAUGGUUGCUUUGUCCCAGUUUAGAUUUGCAACAGGCUUGUUAAUUAGUCACCUUUUGGCUCCCGCUGGAAUUUUCCUGAAAUUAGUCCCUAAUGGCAAACACAAGUUUGCAGCCUGCAGCAGCCAGUAGAAAUCCCUUUUGUCCUUUAUAUUGCUUUAGGGUUUUUAAAAUACUUUGCAAUUCAUGAUACAAACAUGAGCACAGUUAUACAAACAUGAGCACAGUUAUAUAGGACAUGUCAAGUGAGGGCAAACUUGGAAAGCGUUGAUUUCUGUAAUUCUGUUUAUUUAUUUAUUUAUUUAUUCAUGUAUUUUUUUUUAAAUACUGCGAGAAGAUAAAGGUGUGGAAACAAAAUUGUGUUUAGAAGAGCGUGCAUAUUUUGCUGAAAGCAAAACAAUCAUGGUAAAUUUUGUGUUGGAUGGAUUGGAUAAAAAUAGGCCAGGUCAGGUGGAAGGUGGUUAGGAUUAAAAGAACUUCAUGAAGCAUUUUUGAUCUCAUUUGCUAGAUUGGAUUAGUCAAUGAAAUUUAAGACUCGCCUCUGUUAUGCCUGUUAUUUUGACCCUUAAACCCUUCACAUCCACCACAAGUGCGUUUUCACGCUGCUUUUACAGGUGAAGAGCUUAUGCUUAAGUUGUGCAAACAAGCAGUGAAAGUACUUAAGGCUAGGUGAGGCUGCAGAGAACUACAGGCACAGCUGUGGCUGCUUUUGAGAUCUAUGGUGGAAACGCAGGAUUUGUCUUGUUUUGCCUACACUUGACUAAUACACACUCGAGGGAAAGCAUGCAGCUAUGUGAGAAUAAUAGCAUGCACACACUCAGAGGCACAGAAGACACGCCUGAGAAAAUGCCUGCAGUCUGCCAGAAAACUCUUAAACGUCAAAGAAGUGGUUACGCUUUAACACAGAGGCCAGUGAACAGCCUCACG